GCGUUUAAUGGAUGCCUUGGUGCAACAUACCGAAGAAGGACGCAGAGGGCUGCGAUAAGUACCGGUGAGCUGCCGAUCUAGCUUUGACCCGGUAAUUUCCGAAUGGAGCAAUCCCUUGUCCGUAGGACAAGGAUAAAAUUUCUAAUUUCUAAUUACUCUAAUUUCUAAUUAAAUCCUAAUGACAAAAUGUCUAAUGUCUAAAUUUAGUCAUUGAUGAAUUGGGGAUUAUUUAGAUCAAUUAGUAAUUAGGUCAAUUAGGUUAAUUUUGUCCGUGUCUUGCGGGCAAGACUUUAUGCUGAAUUCAUAGGCAUAGAGGGGAUACCGCCCGAACUGAAACAUCUAAGUAGGGCGAGGAAAAGAAAACAACAGUGAUUGCGUAAGUAGCGGCGAGCGAAAGCGCAAAAGCCUAAACCUUGUCCAAAGGACAAGUAAGCGAAUUAGAUGCGAAUGUUUUGCGAAUUGAUGCGAAUGAGCGAAUGUGCAGAUAGUUAAACUAACUUUUGUAUUAGCUCACUCGUGUUUAUUCGCUUACAAUUCGUUUAAAUUAGCGUACUUGCCCUGCGGGCAAGGUGUUGCGGGACUCAAAUAUGAGAUCUCAUUUAAGGUAGCAGAACUAGCUGGAAUGCCAGGCCAUAGAGAGUGAAAGACUCGUAUGCGAAAUCUUAAAUGGCUCUAUGAGUAUCCCAAGUAUUACGGGACACGCGAAAUCCUGUAAGAAUCCGGCUCGACCAUGAGCUAAGGCUAAAUAUGUGUUGCAACCGAUAGUGAACUAGUACCGUGAGGGAAAGGUGAAAGAGUACCCCGGAAGGGGAAUGAAAAGUACCUGAAAUUAAACGCUAACAAGCAGCAGGAGGUACGUUCAGUUACAUGAACGUACUAACUACGUGCCUAUUGAAGAAUGAACCGGUGAGUUUUCCCAUUCUGUAGUCUAAGGGCGGUUAAACGUCUUGAGGCAGAGUGAAAGCGAGCACUAACUAGUGCGUCCGCCAAUUGGCGGAUUAUACAGAAUGGUAAAGACCCGAACCCGUGUGAGCUAACCAUGACCAGGGUGAAGUCCGUCGAAAGGCGGGUGAAGGCCCGAACCAGUGUCAGCUGCAAGUGGCUUGGAUGAGUUGUGGCUAGGGGUGAUAUGCCAAUCGAACACGGAGAUAGCUGGUUCUCCCCGAAAUAUAUCUAGGUAUAGCCCCCGCAUAAAUUUCGUAGGGGUAGAGCACUGAAUGGUCCGUUGCAGCAAUGCGCCGGAUCAAUCAAACUCCGAAUACUACGAAAAAUUUGGCGGGGAGUCAGUCCGUGAGGGCUAAGCCUUACUGGGCUAAAGGGAAACAUCCCAGAUCCAAAGCUAAGGUCCCUAAGUGUAUCUUAAGUGUCAAAGGUAGUACUUGCGUUUAGACAGCAAGGAGGUUGGCUCAGAGGCAGCCAUCCUUUAAAGAAAGCGUAACAGCUCACUUGUCGAACCACGUUCAGUUACAUGAACGUGGGGGCGUAGGUGCGCCGACAAUUUACCGGGGCUAAAGAUAUCACCGAAGCUUGGAGCCUUGUGCAUAGCACAAAUACGCGAAUAUAUGCGAAUUAAAUCGAAUAAACGCGAAUGAGCAAAUACUUCUGUUGUUAAACAGAUAAAGUAUUAGCGCAUUAGCAUUAUUAAGAUAAAUAAUUCCUUAAAAUUAGCGUACUUGCGCUGUGCGCAAGACGGUAGGGGAGCGUUCGCAUAUGCAGUGAAGUCCUUCCGUAAGGUUAGGAUGGAGCGGUGCGAAGUGAGAAUGCCGGUAUGAGUAGCGAGAUCCCUGUGAGAAUCAGGGACGCCGUAUGUCCAAGGUUUCCUACGCAACGUUCGUCGGCGUAGGGUUAGUCGGUCCUAAGGCGAGGCCAGAAGGCGUAGUCGAUGGAUAAGCAGUCAAUAUUCUGCUACUUUGGAAAAAUCGUUAGGAGUAAAGGGAAGACGGAGAUGGAAUGCUUCUGGGUCGAAAUGAUACGGCCCCCAAAAAGCGAGAAAAUGAAGGUCGGCAAAUCCGCUUUCAUGUUUAUUUGAGCUUUGACGGCAAGUCGGCGCAAGCUGGCAAGAGAAAACGUUUCAACUUCCAAGAAAUUCUCCCGUUACCAGAUUUUUUCAAAACCGUACCGCAAACCGACACAGGUGGACUGGUAGAGCAUACUAAGGCGAGCGAGAAAACUAUCCUUAAGGAACUCGGCAAUAUAACUGGACGUACCUUUGGUAGAUGUCCUCCCCGAGCGGGGCUUUGAGCCUCCGCAGUGAAUGGUAAAUGGAAAAUAGUAAAUGGAUAGCUUCAAGAAGCAAAUCUCUAUUAACUAUUCACCAUUAACCAAAAGUCGAGUGAAACUCGACGUUCUGCGAAGCUGAAAGCUUCGCUUGGGGCGCAGUUAACGACGCUAAGCGACUGUUUAACAAAAACACAGGUCCCUGCUAAGACGAAAGUCGAAGUAUAGGGGCUGACACCUGCCCAGUGCUCGUAGGUCAACUACUCUUGGUGCACGGCACAGGAAUAUUAAAUAUUAAAUUUCAAAUAUCAAAAUGUUGGAAGUUUUUAAAAUAAGCAGAGCUUUUCUGCGAAUAAAAACUUUUUAUCUAAAAAGUUUCCAUAAUUUUUGAUUUUUGAUUUUUUCAUUUUGAUUUUCCUGAGCUGUGUGCUAGGGGUAUAAGCCCGGGUGAACGGCAGCAGUAACUAUAACUGUUCUAAGGUAGCGAAAUUCCUUGUCGGGUAAGUUCCGACCCGCACGAAAGGUUGAACGACUUAGCGACUGUCUUGAGGAUAGACUCGGCGAAAUUGCAAUGGCUGUGAAGAUGCGGCCAACUUGCACCAGGACAAAAAGACCCCGUGGAGCUUUACUGCAACUUGGCAUUGUUUCAAUUGACGAAACUGUAUAGCGUAGGAGGGAGGUACGUUCAGUUACAUGAACGUACCGCCAAUGUAACACCUCUCUUUUCGACUAUUGGAACUUACCGCUUGUCCUAACAAAAUACGGGAGGCGGGACAAUGUCUGGUGGGCAGUUUGACUGGGGCGGUCGCCUCCAAAAGAGUAACGGAGGCGUACAAAGGUCGACUCAAGUCCUACAGAAACGGACUUUUAGAGUGCAAUGGCAUAAGUCGGCUUGACUGCGAGUGGUACAUCACGAGCAGGUGCGAAAGCAGGUCAUAGUGAUCCUCCGCUGGUUCAUGGGAACCGCGGAGCUUAACGGAUAAAAGCUACCCCGGGGAUAACAGGCUGAUCUUCUCCAAGAGUCCAUAUCGACGAGAAGGUUUGGCACCUCGAUGUCGGCUCAACGUAUCCUCCCGCUGAAGUAGGCGGGAAGGGUCGGGCUGUUCGCCCGUUAAAACGUUACGCGAGCUGGGUUCAGAACGGCGUGAGCCAGUUCGGCCUCUAUCCGGUGCAAGCGAUUUGAUAUUUGAGUGGGGUCGUUCCUAGUACGAGAGGACCGGAACGAGCCAGCCCCUAGUGUGCCAGUUGUUCCAUCAGGAGCAUUGCUGGGUAGCUACGCUGGUAACUGAGAAGCGCUGAAAGCAUCUAAGCGCCAAACAGGCCACAAGACUAAAUAUCUUAGAUCCGUCGUAGACUACGACGUUGAUAGGCGACAAGUGUAAAGCAUGUAAGU
rnacentral:rRNA from 1 species